CAGGGAGACAACAAAAUGUUAAAUAUUAAUUUUGUCACCUUAGGUCGAUCGGUACCUCAGAUUCUUAAUUAGUUAAGAAUUUCAAUUCCUAAGUUUUUCUAGGUCACACCCAUUACUUUCCCUGGGCCAUUAGCUCAGGUGGUUAGAGCGCACCCCUGAUAAGGGUGAGGUCCCUGGUUCAAGUCCAGGAUGGCCCAUCUACUCUAUGUUGGGGGUAUAGCUCAGUUGGUAGAGCGCCUGCUUUGCAAGCAGGAUGUCAGCGGUUCGAGUCCGCUUACCUCCACUGAUUACCACCUCUUCCAUAUGUGUAAGGGAAACGUUUUGAGAUGUGAUUUAUUCUGAACGAACCUAGCUUCCUAAUUAGUGAUAUUAAGAUGCUGGAUUCAUUGAAUUUCAUUCAUUGUUUUCAGAGAACCUUGACAACUGCAUAGAUUUUUUUAAAGACAAUAAGCAUCUUAAUGAUGCAGAUUUAUUAUUUGUGCUAUUGCAUUAAUAACAAUUCUAUUGAGCUGAUGCUUCAG
rnacentral:tRNA from 1 species